AAAUUGAAGAGUUUGAUCAUGGCUCAGAUUGAACGCUGGCGGCAGGCCUAACACAUGCAAGUCGAACGGUAACAGGAAGCAGCUUGCUGCUUCGCUGACGAGUGGCGGACGGGUGAGUAAUGUCUGGGAAACUGCCUGAUGGAGGGGGAUAACUACUGGAAACGGUGGCUAAUACCGCAUAACGUCGCAAGACCAAAGAGGGGGACCUUCGGGCCUCUUGCCAUCAGAUGUGCCCAGAUGGGAUUAGCUGGUAGGUGGGGUAACGGCUCACC
rnacentral:rRNA from 2 species